GAUGAACGCUGACGGAAUGCUUAACACAUGCAAGUCAACUUGAACUUCGGUUUGGGUGGCGGACGGGUGAGUAACGCGUAAAGAACUUGCCUCACAGAUAGGGACAACAUUUGGAAACGAAUGCUAAUACCUGAUAUUAUGAUUUUAGGGCAUCCUAGGAUUAUGAAAGCUAUAUGCGCUGUGAGAGAGCUUUGCGUCCCAUUAGCUAGUUGGAGAGGUAACGGCUCACCAAGGCGAUGAUGGGUAGCCGGCCUGAGAGGGUGAGCGGCCACAAGGGGACUGAGGCACCCCCCCUACCCCCUCCGGGAGCCACGGGUGGGAAUUUUGUACAAUGGAACCAAGUGUCUGACCAGGUUUUUCUGUGUCAAAAAAGAUUUUUUGGGGAAUGAAAGGUUUUUCAAGUAGAGAAAAAAAAAAUGCCGGUACCAACAAAAAAAGGGCCGCCUAAACCCGUC
rnacentral:rRNA from 1 species